rnacentral:rRNA from 1 species
UACGUAGGGACCGAGCGUUGUCCGGAAUCAUUGGGCGUAAAGAGCGUGUAGGCGGCCAAUUAAGUCCUGCGUGAAAUCUCGGGGCUCAACCCCGAGCGGUCGUGGGAAACUGGUUGGCUAGAGUGCGGGAGAGGAGAGUGGGAAUUCCUGGUGUAGCGGUGAAAUGCGCAGAUAUCAGGAAGAACACCCGUGGCGAAGGCGGCUCUCUGGAACGCAACUGACGCUGAAACACGAAAGCGUGGGUAGCAAACAGG